rnacentral:rRNA from 1 species
CUACAGGAGGCAGCAGUGGGGAAUAUUGCACAAUGGGCGCAAGCCUGAUGCAGCGACGCCGCGUGGGGGAUGACGGCCUUCGGGUUGUAAACCUCUUUCAGUAGGGACGAAGCGUAAGUGACGGUACCUAUAGAAGAAGCACCGGCCAACUACGUGCCAGCAGCCGCGGUAAUACGUAGGGUGCGAGCGUUGGCCGGAAUUACUGGGCGUAAAGAGCUCGUAGGUGGUUUGUCGCGUUGUUCGUGAAAACUCACAGCUUAACUGUGGGCGUGCGGGCGAUACGGGCAGACUAGAGUACUGCAGGGGAGACUGGAAUUCCUGGUGUAGCGGUGGAAUGCGCAGAUAUCAGGAGGAACACCGGUGGCGAAGGCGGGUCUCUGGGCAGUAACUGACGCUGAGGAGCGAAAGCGUGGGGAGCGAACAGGAUUAGAAACCCCGGUAGUCC